GACGAACGCUGGCGGCGUGCCUAAUACAUGCAAGUCGGGCGGACCGACCGAGGGCUUGCUCUUGUUUUGUUAGCGGCGGACGGGUGAGUAACACGUGGGCAACCUGCCCACAAGACCGGGAUAACUCCGGGAAACCGGAGCUAAUACCGGAUAAUACCUAAAACCGCAUGGUCUUCGGUUGAAAGGCGGCCUUUCUGCUGUUUCUUGCUGAUUGGCCCGCGGCUGCUUUGCUAGGUAGGGAAGUAACGGCCCACCAAAGCGAAGAUGCGGAGCCCGACUGGGAGGGGGAACGGCCCACAUGGGAAUGGGACCACGCUCAGAAUUCUUAGGGAGGCAGGCGGAGGGGAAUCUUCGGCAAUGGCCGAAGGCCGGACGAGGGAACGCGGGUGGGCGAAGAAAGCUCUCGGGUCGUAAAGACCUGUUGUGAGGGAAGAAGGAGAGCCGUUAGAAGAGGGCGGCACCGUGACGGUACCUAACGAGAAAGCCACGGCUAACUACGUG
rnacentral:rRNA from 1 species